GUAACCGGCUCACCAAGGCGACGACGGGUAGCCGGCCUGAGAGGGCGACCGGCCACACUGGGACUGAGACACGGCCCAGACUCCUACGGGAGGCAGCAGUGGGGAAUAUUGCACAAUGGGCGCAAGCCUGAUGCAGCGACGCCGCGUGAGGGAUGACGGCCUUCGGGUUGUAAACCUCUUUCAGCAGGGAAGAAGCGCAAGUGACGGUACCUGCAGAAGAAGCGCCGGCUAACUACGUGCCAGCAGCCGCGGUAAUACGUAGGGCGCGAGCGUUGUCCGGAAUUAUUGGGCGUAAAGAGCUCGUAGGCGGCUUGUCGCGUCGGUUGUGAAAGCCCGGGGCUUAACCCCGGGUCUGCAGUCGAUACGGGCAGACUGGAGUACUGCAGGGGAGACUGGAAUUCCUGGUGUAGCGGUGAAAUGCGCAGAUAUCAGGAGGAACACCGGUGGCGAAGGCGGAUCUCUGGGCCGAUACUGACGCUGAGGAGCGAAAGCGUGGGGAGCGAACAGGAUUAGAUACCCUGGUAGUCCACGCCGUAAACGGUGGGCACUAGG
rnacentral:rRNA from 1 species